GAGCCAACGUUUCGACAAGUGGACUUGUCUUCUACAAGGCGACUACGCUCUCCUCGGUACAGUACAUAUAGGUAGGGUUCUUCGAAAGCGGGAGCC
rnacentral:lncRNA from 1 species